GACGAACGCUGGCGGCGUGCUUAACACAUGCAAGUCGAACGGAAAGGCCCUGCUUUUGUGGGGUGCUCGAGUGGCGAACGGGUGAGUAACACGUGAGUAACCUGCCCUUGACUUUGGGAUAACUUCAGGAAACUGGGGCUAAUACCGGAUAGGAGCUCCUGCUGCAUGGUGGGGGUUGGAAAGUUUCGGCGGUUGGGGAUGGACUCGCGGCUUAUCAGCUUGUUGGUGGGGUAGUGGCUUACCAAGGCUUUGACGGGUAGCCGGCCUGAGAGGGUGACCGGCCACAUUGGGACUGAGAUACGGCCCAGACUCCUACGGGAGGCAGCAGUGGGGAAUAUUGCACAAUGGGCUGAAGCCUGAUGCAGCAACGCCGCGUGCGGGAUGACGGUCUUCGGGUUGUAAACCGCUUUCGCCUGUGACGAAGCGUGAGUGACGGUAAUGGGUAAAGAAGCACCGGCUAACUACGUG
rnacentral:rRNA from 1 species